CCAAGUCCAUAGCAGUUUCCCGUUGACUAUUGAUUGCAUUGACGUCAAGCGAUGUAAAGCUCAGUAAAAGGCUUACAAUCUCUGAUCGACACUUUCUAGUUGCUAUAUGCAAAGCUGUAUUUCCCAUCUUGUCUCGUUCAUUCAGUAUAGAUGCAUCGACCUGCAAUAGCUCCUCGACCGCUGCAGUGCUCUGACCUUUCACAGCCAUGUGAAGUGCAGUCUGGGACUUUUUGUCUUUAAUUGCAACUAUUCCAGGAUCAUGAUCAAUAAGCGUUUUCACGAUUCGAAGGAG
rnacentral:misc_RNA from 1 species